rnacentral:rRNA from 1 species
UACGUAGGGGGCAAGCGUUGUCCGGAAUCACUGGGCGUAAAGGGUGCGUAGGCGGGUUUUUAAGUCAGGGGUGAAAUCCUGGAGCUCAACUCCAGAACUGCCUUUGAUACUGAAGAUCUUGAGUUCGGGAGAGGUGAGUGGAACUGCGAGUGUAGAGGUGAAAUUCGUAGAUAUUCGCAAGAACACCAGUGGCGAAGGCGGCUCACUGGCCCGAUACUGACGCUGAGGCACGAAAGCGUGGGGAGCAAACAGG